CGUGAAACGCCCGGAUGCAGAAUAGGGGCGGGGUCUUCUCCAGAGGAGCGCUGCAGUAUAGAAUCCAGCCGCAGCAGCUCCAAAAACGUUAGACGUUCGCGAAGAAAGAUACACAAUGAUGUGUCCUGAUAAGUAAAUUGAAGCUGAUCAAUAUUGUUGUGCAAGGUGACGUAAGGGCAAAGCCUCUCCGGGUGAGCCCCGUCUGAUUUUAACCGCACCUCUAGCGCUCAGUUCCCAAGCGCCUGGACGGCCUCCACCUCUCCUUCUGCCUCGCGGCUUCCUUGUCUCUGCUCAGGAGAUAUCAAGCUGAAACCCAGCGGGAGAGGAGCUCGCCAGUCACAGCAAGAAGACCGUGGUUUUGAAAAGGAGAGAACUCUCCCAUCAAAUAGGAAAAAUAUAUCAAUUUUAGACAGAGGAGAGCUAAGAAAGUUUUAGAAAGGAGAGAACCAAGGCGCAGAGAGGUGGCGUGGCUUACCCUAGAGCGCAUACUGAGUCGGAGUUUCUCCCACUAGCUCCAUGUAGAGAUGGCUCCUCUUCACCACUAUAAGACCAGCAAGAAGGACCUAGAUGGUAGAGGAAUUGUCUUCCUCCCCUAAACCAGAAUUCACCAUCCAUCACAGAGGCAGACAACCAGGGACAUGGAUCUGUGGAUUCUUUUAUCUCACCAUCCACCUCUCUGCAAGGAGCCUCACAAGGCCAAACACAGGCUGGUGGGAAGGUGCCAACCAGCAAGGCUACAUGUUCCUCCUCCCUACAAGCAGCCACAUUCCUCACAACCUUUGAAAACCCUUGCCUCCCAUCUUUUGAAGAGACAAAUUUGAGGGUUUACUCUCAUCUCCCGGCUGACAUCACCCAAAAUAAACCCCUUUCCUUGCCAUAAGCCUGGUGUUCCAGUUU